GACGAACGCUGGCGGCGUGCCUAAUACAUGCAAGUCGAGCGAGCGGAACUAACAGAUUUACUUCGGUAAUGACGUUAGGAAAGCGAGCGGCGGAUGGGUGAGUAACACGUGGGGAACCUGCCCCAUAGUCUGGGAUACCACUUGGAAACAGGUGCUAAUACCGGAUAAGAAAGCAGAUCGCAUGAUCAGCUUUUAAAAGGCGGCGUAAGCUGUCGCUAUGGGAUGGCCCCGCGGUGCAUUAGCUAGUUGGUAAGGUAAAGGCUUACCAAGGCGAUGAUGCAUAGCCGAGUUGAGAGACUGAUCGGCCACAUUGGGACUGAGACACGGCCCAAACUCCUACGGGAGGCAGCAGUAGGGAAUCUUCCACAAUGGACGCAAGUCUGAUGGAGCAACGCCGCGUGAGUGAAGAAGGUUUUCGGAUCGUAAAGCUCUGUUGUUGGUGAAGAAGGAUAGAGGUAGUAACUGGCCUUUAUUUGACGGUAAUCAACCAGAAAGUCACGGCUAACUACGUGCCAGCAGCCGCGGUAAUACGUAGGUGGCAAGCGUUGUCCGGAUUUAUUGGGCGUAAAGUGAGCGCAGGCGGAAGAAUAAGUCUGAUGUGAAAGCCCUCGGCUUAACCGAGGAACUGCAUCGGAAACUGUUUUUCUUGAGUGCAGAAGAGGAGAGUGGAACUCCAUGUGUAGCGGUGGAAUGCGUAGAUAUAUGGAAGAACACCAGUGGCGAAGGCGGCUCUCUGGUCUGCAACUGACGCUGAGGCUCGAAAGCAUGGGUAGCGAACAGGAUUAGAUACCCUGGUAGUCCAUGCCGUAAACGAUGAGUGCUAAGUGCUGGGAGGUUUCCGCCUCUCAGUGCUGCAGCUAACGCAUUAAGCACUCCGCCUGGGGAGUACGACCGCAAGGUUGAAACUCAAAGGAAUUGACGGGGGCCCGCACAAGCGGUGGAGCAUGUGGUUUAAUUCGAAGCAACGCGAAGAACCUUACCAGGUCUUGACAUCUAGUGCCAUUUGUAGAGAUACAAAGUUCCCUUCGGGGACGCUAAGACAGGUGGUGCAUGGCUGUCGUCAGCCCGUGUCGUGAGAUGUUGGGUUAAGUCCCGCAACGAGCGCAACCCUUGUUAUUAGUUGCCAGCAUUAAGUUGGGCACUCUAAUGAGACUGCCGGUGACAAACCGGAGGAAGGUGGGGAUGACGUCAAGUCAUCAUGCCCCUUAUGACCUGGGCUACACACGUGCUACAAUGGGCAGUACAACGAGAAGCGAGCCUGCGAAGGCAAGCGAAUCUCUGAAAGCUGUUCUCAGUUCGGACUGCAGUCUGCAACUCGACUGCACGAAGCUGGAAUCGCUAGUAAUCGCGGAUCAGCACGCCGCGGUGAAUACGUUCCCGGGCCU
rnacentral:rRNA from 1 species